CCCCUUCCUUCCUUCCCUUUCUCCUUCCUGGCUGUGAGGAUGAAGCCCCAGGAGUAUGAGAUCUGUUAGGUGCUGGUUUUUCUCAAGACUAGUGGUUGGAGGAUUCCCACUACGGCUGUGCUGCUGGGUCUUUUCCUCAGGUGUUUACUACUUUAGCGGUUUCCAGCAGUGAU